CAAGACUCCUACGGGAGGCAGCAGUAGGGAAUCUUCGGCAAUGGACGAAAGUCUGACCGAGCAACGCCGCGUGAGUGAAGAAGGUUUUCGGAUCGUAAAACUCUGUUGGUAGAGAAGAACGUUGGUGAGAGUGGAAAGCUCAUCAAGUGACGGUAACUACCCAGAAAGGGACGGCUAACUACGUGCCAGCAGCCGCGGUAAUACGUAGGUCCCGAGCGUUGUCCGGAUUUAUUGGGCGUAAAGCGAGCGCAGGUGGUUUAUUAAGUCUGGUGUAAAAGGCAGUGGCUCAACCAUUGUAUGCAUUGGAAACUGGUAGACUUGAGUGCAGGAGAGGAGAGUGGAAUUCCAUGUGUAGCGGUGAAAUGCGUAGAUAUAUGGAGGAACACCGGUGGCGAAAGCGGCUCUCUGGCCUGUAACUGACACUGAGGCUCGAAAGCGUGGGGAGCAAACAGGAUUAGAUACCCUGGUAGUCCACGCCGUAAACGAUGAGUGCUAGAUGUAGGGAACUAUAAGUUCUCUGUAUCGCAGCUAACGCAAUAAGCACUCCGCCUGGGGAGUACGACCGCAAGGUUGAAACUCAUAGGAAUUGACGGGGGCCCGCACAAG
rnacentral:rRNA from 1 species